rnacentral:rRNA from 1 species
UACGUAGGUGGCGAGCGUUGUCCGGAAUUACUGGGUGUAAAGGGCGUGUAGGCGGGAAUGUAAGUCAGAUGUGAAAUUCCGGAGCUUAACUUCGGCGCUGCAUCUGAAACUAUAUUUCUUGAGUGCUGGAGAGGAAAGCGGAAUUCCUAGUGUAGCGGUGAAAUGCGUAGAUAUUAGGAGGAACACCAGUGGCGAAGGCGGCUUUCUGGACAGUAACUGACGCUGAGGCGCGAAAGCGUGGGGAGCAAACAGG